UUGUUCACUGAGUCAACCAAUAUUUGAGGACCUAUGAUGUGCCAGAGCCUGAGCGUGGCCUUGGAGAAGGGUUUGGUUCUGUCACUCAUUGGGUUCCUCCAGAAGCAGUCUUCAAGCCAAGAAUUGAGCAUAAGUGGUUUGCUAAUACCCAGCCCCAGAAGAAGAAACCAGUAAGGGAGUAAAAGAAGCAGACUGAGGAGAGGGAAGAACCUAAGAGAGAUUGUUUAUUUACGAAGGAUAAUGCGGCCUCCUGUAUCAUCUCAGUUCCCACAGUAAAAAAUAAUCAUGCUGCUCUGUGAAAAACUGGAUGGUUGCUGAAUAUAGAAAGAGGCCUAGUGGGCUACACUUGUAACAUGUCUAUUAAAAUAAUCUAUAAAUGGCUCUUGAGGAAAAAAAGUUCUGGGCAGAGGUUCUUAACUGUUCUUAUGCCAUCGACCCCUUUGAACGUCUGGUGAAGACUGUAAUCCUUUCUGAGAAUAACACUUCUAUAUGCCUAAAAGUAAGAUUACAGGGUAACCACUUACAUUGAAACACAGCUGUUGAAAUAGUAAAAAGAAAAUUCUGAUAUAGAAAUAGAGGUGUUUAUUAAUAAGUUAAGGGAAAAAUCUAAUGUUGGUUCUAAUAACUAUCAGAAGUUGGAAAGUGAUGAGCAUAAAUGAUAUUUCAAGAUUAUCUGUUAUUGUGACAAGAAAAUGUCUAUUAUUCCUAUUAGUAGAAAUAUGGUUCUGUUAAAUAUGCUUGUGGUUCAUUGCCUACAUUCAUAAUAGAAGGAAAUGAUAAAUUCCAGUUAGAAGUUAGUGAAAAUAAAUAUGUAAUUUCUUUUCCAUUUAAGUUCACAGGCCCCUGAAUUCUAUCCUAAAGUUACUGUAAACUACCAAAGGAGUUGGUUUAUUCAGAUGUAUUCAUACAAAUAUCUCCCUUUCCAUAUCACACUGUAGAAGAUUUCAGUACUGAAGUCAAAACAACAACAACAACAACAACAAAAAUCAGAACUCUUUUCCCCUCCCGCCCCCCUUCCAGAUGCAUUGCUGACUGGGUAUGAAUGCUGCAGAAGCAGCUGCAGAGGGUUUGGAAGCUGACCCCUGAGGGGUCUGGGUGGAGCCCCUUCCCCCUCCAAGGCACAGGCCUGUAGAGAAAGGGGUCACACAUUUCUUUUGAACUUUUGAACAUCAGCCAGGGUAUGAAGGGACCUCCCUCCACUCUAGGUUAGAGCAAAGUUGAGGAGGAAAGAAUGGAACACAAACUAGGGAACAAGAGGAGAAAAAGAAUCUGGAAACUUCAGACUUGGAACGGAAUGUAAAAAAUGAUCAGUAUAAACUCCUACCUUUUACUGAAACCCUAAGGUAGCCAACCUUUGCUUGCCCACUCUUAUUAGAGACUUGUCUUUCGAAAGCUCUUUUCAUUUUGCCUGGUUCACAUGAUUAGUAGCCCCUUCUUAUAUCAAGACUCUUUUCUCGAACACUUUAGCCUGGAAUAUCUAGAUGGCUUAUUGCCACUUCCCAAAUUCUGAUAACCUCCUGCUGUUUUCUUUGUUCUUUCACUUUGGAGACUGACUUAAUAAAAAGGUCAGUAGAUAAACAGAAUACCUUCAUUUUACCAUUGCCAGUUUGGCAGUUUUCAAGAGCACUUUUAAAUUUAAAAUAAGAAUUUCCAAAGAGGAAAACUGGUCAACUGUAAAACCACUAAUUUUGUGAAUUUUCCAAGUUAGGAAAACAUACCUGGAGAUGUCUGUAAAUGAUUAAAUGUGGAAUCUGAGCUGUAUGAAACCUACAUCAAAGCCCUAAAUCAUGCCGGUUUAAUAGAAGUAGUUACCCUUUUCGUUUUUCUCCUCCGUCCACAUUUGACUAGUUUGGUAAAGGAAAUAUGCAUUUUAAACAUGUUUUCCAAUACACUCAAUUACAUAAUUAAAGUCUGGAGAAAAACAUUAAUGUGGUCAGGUGUAUUAAAUAAAGACGGAAUUCGCUUAACUAAA